rnacentral:tRNA from 1 species
GUCUUUAUAGUUUAAUAAAAACAUUAGUCUUGUAAACUAAAAUUGCUCUUACUAAAGAUU